AUUGAACGCUGGCGGCAGGCCUAACACAUGCAAGUCGAGCGAGCGGUGGACGGGUGCGUAAUGUCUGGGAACCUGCCUGAUGGAGGGGGAUAACUACUGGAAACGGUAGCUAAUACCGCGUACCAUCCGAUGUGCCCAGCUGGGAUUAGCUAGUCGGUGGGGUAACGGCUCACCUAGUCGACGAUCCCUAGCUGGUCUGAGAGGUUGACCAGCCACACGGGAACGGAGACACGGUCCAGACUCCUACGGGAGGCAGCAGUGGGGAAUAUUGCGCAAUGGGCGAAAGCCUGAUACAGCCAUGCCGCGUGUGUGAAGAAGGUCUUCGGGUUGUAAAGCACUUUCAGCGGGGAGGCGGUACCCGCAGAAGAAGCACCGGCUAACUCCGUGCCAGCAGCCGCGGUAAUUC
rnacentral:rRNA from 1 species